rnacentral:piRNA from 1 species
UACUGUAGGUUCACGGAGUGACAAAGCUGU